rnacentral:tRNA from 1 species
GCUCCUGUAGUGUAGUCCGGCCAAGCAUAUGUGGUUUUCGUCCACAUGACCCGGGUUCAAAUCCCGGCGGGAGCA